rnacentral:lncRNA from 1 species
UUUUUUUCUGGAGGUAGGUGAUGACACGGGCUAAAGAGAUAAGUGAGGGGGCCCAUGUGGGGACCACAACCCACCAGGGCGCGCAUAGGGCUGUUGGCGCACCCAGGUGGUUUGUGCCCACCUGAUGCACCCCCUCUGAUGUUAUUUGCACUAAAAACUCUUACAUAUUCAGAAAAAAAUCGUAUUAAAUUUUCAGGGCAUUCCGAGGACUUUUAUUUUGGGGACAUUUUUUAUUGCACGUGAAAUUCAGAAAACAGAUAAAUCAUGGCAUUUUAUUUUAUUUAACUAAGAAAAACGGAAAUAAAAAGUAAGGACAGAAAGUAGUGCCUACUAAAUUCAUCAACUUCAUACCUCUCAAAGAUGACCCAUUAAUAAGGUUGAUCAAGUCUUAUUAACAACCACCUUCGAUUAGCAUGAAACCGAAGAACUUUCGUAAGACACUAAGUUACCUCAACGGGGAUAUGCAUGUCCCCAACAAUAAGUAUAUCAUAUUUAUUUUUAGAAGUAGGUAGAGGUAGUUGAAAACUUCCAAUAGUGAUUGUCGGAGAUUUUUCAAUAACAUUAAUACCAUUCACUUGGAAUUGUUUCUUCGGAAAGUGCACUGUAUGCUCGUUACCAUUGAUAUGAAAGGUGACCUUGCUUUUGUUGCAAUCAAUAACAGCCCCUACAGUAUUCAAAAAGGGUCUACCAAGGGUAAUUGACAUAUUGUCGUCCUCGAGCAUCUCAAGUAUAACAAAUUCUGUUAAGAUAGUAACAUUUGCAACUACAAUGGGCACAUCCUCACAAAUACCGAUAGGUAUGGCAGUUGAUUUGUCAGCCAUUUGCAAGGAUAUUUUAGUAGGUGUGAGUUUAUUCAGAUCAAGUCUUUUGUAUAGUGAGAAAGGCAUAACACUAACACCAGCUCCUAAAUCACAUAACACUAACACGAGAGCAGUUUUCACAUAAUUUCUUUUGAUGGAGCAAGGUAUAGUUGGUAUUCCCGGAUCUCCAAGGUUUUUAGGUACUCCAUCCUUAAAGGAAUAAUUAGCAAGCAUGAUGGAGAUUUCAGCUUCUGGUAUUUUUCUCUUAUUGGUGAUGAUGUCUUUCAUAUACUUUGCAUAAUGGGCCAUUUUUAAAAUAUCAGUCAAGCGAGUGUGCAAAAAGACUGGCCUAAUCAUUUCAGCAAAGCGUUCAAAUUCUUCAUCAUACUUCUUCUUAGUUUAUUUAGGUGGAAAGGGCAUAGGUGUUUGAACCCAUGGUUCUCUUUCCUUACCAUGUUUUCUAGCAACAAGUCUCUUUUAUCAUAUCUUUUGUUCUUGGGUUGUGGGUUAUCAAGACCAACAAUGGUUCUAUUUCAACAUCAUUAUCUGGUUCUUUUCCAUUAUUUGAUUGGGUGUCUUCAUGAACCUCAUCAUUAUCUUUUUAAUUGUUGAUAGGUGAGUGUUCAUUACCAGAUUGAGUUUCAGUAUCAGAAAUAGAAACAUCAUUAUCAUUAUCAGGAGGCUUUUCUAUUUCAGGUUCACUAGAGGCAUACAAAGUCCUAUCAUUUUUCAUUUUCUUCUUCUUUUUAGAAGUACUAGGUGCAUCCGUGUUAAUUCUUUGAGAAUCUUGUUCAAUUAUUUUUGGGUGUCCCUCAGGAUAAAGUGGUUCCUGGGUCAUUUCACCUCCUCUAGUCAUUACUCUAACAGCAUGGUCAUAGAUGUUAUUGUUCAUUUCAUCAAGUAAUUCUCUUUGAGAUUUAGCUACUUGUUCUAGUUGAGUUUGAACCAUAUUGGCAUUCUUUCCUACACCUCUAACAUAAUUUGAGAUUCUAAAUAGCAAGUCACUCAAGCGAGCAAUCAUAUCAAAAUUGUAUUUCAAUUGUUUCGUAACAUUUGCAUUGAAGUGAUCUUGCUUUCUAAUGUAAUUAUCAAACUCAUAAAGGCAUUGAGUAGGAUGCAUAUUAUAAGGAUUGUCAUUAUCAUUGAAUUGCAUUAAAUAAUUUACCUCUACCACGUUAGGUGGUGGUGGUGUUUCAAGCCCAUGUAUUUCUUCCAUCGGAGGUAAAUUUUUGACGUCCUUGGCUCUAAUACCUUUUUCCUUCAUAGAUUUCUUUGCCUCUUACAUAUCUUCCGGACUGACAUAUAAGAUACCCCUCUUCUUCGGAGUGGGUUUAUGUGGUGGUUCAGGAAGAGUCCAAUUAUCAUAAUUUUUCAAUAUAUUAUUCAAUAAUUCCUCAACUUUUUCAAUUGUUCGUUCCCUGAAAACACAACCAGCACAACUAUCUAGGAAGUCCCUAGAAGCAUCGGUUAGUCCAUUAUAGAAGAUAUGAAGUAUUUCAUUUGUCUUAAGAGGAUGAUCAGGCAAAGAAUUAAUCAAUUGGAAAAAGCCUCCCCCAAGCUUGUGGGAGACUCUCUUCUUCAAUUUGCACAAAUUUAAAUAUUUCCUGUGGCGGCUUGUUUCUUAUGAGCAGGAAAAUAUUUUUUUAGAGAAGUAAUAAAUCAUAUCCUGGGGACUACGCACACAACCAGGAGCAAGAGUAUUAUACCAAGUCUUAGCAUCACCCUUUAACGAGAAUGGAAAUAAUUUGAGAAUAUAAUAGUAGCGAAUUUUCUCAUCAUGAGCAAAUAGGGUGGCUAUGUCAUUCAACUUAGUAAGAUGUGCCACAACAGUUUUAGUUUCAUAACCAUGGAAAGGAUCAGAUUCAACCAAAGUAAUUAACUCUGUCAACAGAGAAUUCAUAAUCCUUAUCAUCAACAAAGAUAGGUGAAGUAGCAAACUUAGGGUCACAUUUCAUUCUAUUCAAAGUUUUUUUUCAGUUUGCAUAAUAAUUUCGUAAGAUCAUCCCUAUCAUUGCAAGCAAGAAAGUCUCUAGUUGUCUCCUCAUCCAUAACAUAACCUUACGAUAUAUUAGGCAAUUCAUAUCUAGGAGGACUAGGUCUAAUAGGUGUCUCAAGAUUUUCAGAUUCAAGUAUUUCAUCAGUUUCAGAAAUUUCAUUCUCUUUAGCUCUAGCAAUUUGUUCAUUAAGAAAUUCGCCUAGUGGCACAUUAUCAUCAAGAAAGGUACUAGCAUCAUCAUAAGCAUUAUCCAUAGCAGAAGUAGCAUCAUCAAUAACUUGCGACAUAUCAGAAUUAAUAGCAUGUGGUGGUGUUGCAAGUUUACUCAAAAUAGAAGGUGAAUCAAGUGCAGAGCUAGAUGGCAGUUCCUUACCUCCCCUCGUCUUAGAGGGAAAUAUCUUAGUCUUGGUAUCCUUCAGAUUCUUCAUAGUGAUAAAUUGAUAAUAAUCCCGAGUAACUCAACAAAUAUAGCUAUGCUCCCCGGCAAUGGUGCCAGAAAAAGGUCUUGAUAACCCACAAGUAUAGGGGGUCGCAACAGUUUUCGAGGGUAGAGUAUUCAACCCAAAUUUAUUGAUUCGACAAAAGGGGAGCCAAAGAAUAUUUCAAGUAUUAGCAGCUGAGUUGUUAAUUCAGCCACACCUGGAGAUUAAUUAUCUGCAGCAGCGUAAUCAGUAGCAAAGUAGUAUGGUAGUUUUGAUAGUAGAAGCAACAGCAAUAGUAACGGUAACAAUGAUAGCAAUGAUUUUGUAGCAAGUGUAACAGUAACAAUAGCAGUAGUAACUUAGCAGGAAUUUGUAGGCAUUGGAUCGGUGAAUUCGUUGGAUGAUAUUCAUCAUAUAACAGUCAUAACCUAGGGCGAUACGGCACAAGCUCCAGUUCAUAAAUAUAAUGUAGGCAUGUACUCCGUAAAUAGUCAUAUGUGCUUAUGGAAGAACUUGCAUGACAUCUUUUGUCCUACCCUCCCGUGGCAGUGGGGUCCAUACGGAAACUAAGGGAUAUUAAAGCCUCCUUUUAAUAGAGAACCAGAACAAAGCAUUAACACAUAGUGAAUACAUGAACUCCUCAAACUACGGUCAUCACCGAAAAGUAUCCCGACUACAGUCACUCCGGGGUUUAUGGAUCAUAACACGUAAUAGGUGAAUAUAACUUGCAAGAUUGGAUCUAGAACAUAGAUAUAAUGGUGAUAACAUAAACGGUUCAGAUCUGAAAUCAUGGCACCUGGGCCCAAAGUGACAAGCAUUAAGCAUGGCAAAGUCAUAUCAACAUCAAUCUCAGAACAUAAUGGAUAAUAGGGAUCAAGCCCUAACAAAACUAACUCGAUUACAUGAUGAAUCUCAUCCAACUCCUCACCGACCAGCGAGCCUAUGAAGGAAUUACUCACUCCCGAUGGGGAGCAUCAUGGAAUUGGCGAUGGAGAAGGGUUGGUGAUGACAAAGAUCGAAGAUCCCCCUCUCCGGAGCCCCAAGCUGACUCCAGAUCUGGCCUCCCGAUAAAGAACAGGAGGUGGCGGUGGCUCCGUCUCGCGAAACAUGGUAAUUCUUUGUCCCUGAUAUUUUUUCUGGAAAAAUAGGUAUUUAUGGAGUUGGAUUCAGGGUCUGCAGGGCCACCAGGUGGGCACAACCCACCUGGGUGGACCUGAGGGGGAGCGCCCUGGUGUGUUGUGAUCACCCAGGGGCCCCCUCCGUUGGUUCUUGGCUCCAGUAAUUCUCUUUUAUUAUAUAAAAAAUCCUCACAAAGUUUCGUUCCAAUCUGAGAACUUUUAUUUUGGCACAAAAACAACACCAUGCUAGAUCUGCUGAAAACAGCGUCAGUCCAGGUUAGUUUCAUUCAAAUCAUGCAAAUUAGUGUCCAAAACAAGAGGAAAAGCAUUAGGAAAAGUAGAUACGACGGAGACGUAUCAAUAUCCAACAAAUGAUCCAAAGCAUAAUAUCGUCAUAUCAUAAUACUCUGAGAGUAGCAUAUAACUAAUAUCAUGAUGAAUCCCAAGUAUAAAGAUGCUACUAAACCAAUAGUAAUAUCAAAAUAUUAACCUAAGAUCCACAUGAUAGCAUCAAAUCCAACAUAAUACUCCAAAGCAUAACAUCAACUCCUAUCGUAAUAAUAAUAAUAGCCACCAAUAAUCCAAUGGCAACAUGUCAUCCUCAAUCUGCAAAAUAUUAGUGCUAGAAAUCCAAACAGAAAAAUGGCAAUAGCAAGAUCAAGAUAACUCCAAGAAAUGCCAUGAAUAAAUCAUACAUUACUAAUGAAAUGUUUUAGAUAAGUUUAUUAAGGAAAACCAUGAUAUUGCAUUGCAAUCAUGCAAAUGGAGGGUGUGGCUUGCCUUGCUCUAAGAAAGGGUGGGAAAGCUCCUGCUCUUCAUCAAGCACACAAAACACUCUGAAAAACAUUUUUGAAAGCUUUUGUAAAUAAUCCCUAAUGCAUUUUUCUCUGUUCAGAAAAGCUAGACAUCAGAGAAAAAUACCAAACUCUACCAGAAAAUAGAUGAGCUCAAAAGAAAAAUAAUGCAAAAAGAAUCAGUUCAUUUCGACUUGUAGUUUAGGAGUUAUUCAUGGUCAAAGUUGUGGUCAAAUCUACAUUUAAAUUGAAUUUAAAUGAAUUUUAGAAAAUCUCCAAAGGGGGUGACGUCUCAGGCGUAAAGGCAGAAUACGCCUUCACUUAGAAAACGGUUCGGGAGGGGGUGAGGGGCUGACAGAUGGGGUCAGCUGGUAGGUUUUGAAGAGAUGGAGAGAGAGACAAAGGCGGGGCGGCUCACCGGUGACGCCUCACCAGCGUAGAGGCCACGGCGGUGAGGGGCGAUGACGGGGAUCGAUCGGGCGCAUCACAGCGGUCACGCCCGUACCCGUAGCACGUCGGGAGGUGGUCGGAGGAUGUCGGCCCCUUCGUCUCCGGCUGCCCCAAGCGUCGGGCGCCGGCGAGGACGACGUUUCCGGCGAUGAUUCGAGCGCCCGAGAGGUUGGGGAGGAUCAGUGGAUGAAGAGGGACUCGAUGGUGGUGGUGGCUGGGAAGGGGAGGCACUGGAGUGACCGGGCCAGAGCAGAGGCCAAGCGGAGAGGCACCUCACCGAAGAGGAGGAAGAGGGCUCGCCGGCCUUGCUGCUGGGAUUCAAAGGAUGGUUGGGAGCGAGGGAAGUGGACCGGUGAUGAGCUGCGAGGUCGGGUCGAGCUUAAAUAGGCGGGGAGGAGGUGGCCGAGCCAGAUGCCGCCAUGGGCGCGCGGCCAGCUCUAGCGAUGGCUGGGAGCGUCACGGGGCGAUGGAGGGGACUGGAGAGAGCAGAGGGGUGCAUUGGAGCAGAGAAUGAUGCUACGAGAGAGGAGGAAGAAGACGGGGCAGCAACAGAGCCAAUCGGGGCACUGUGCUCCCGUGGGCACGCGGCGUCUAGCACCGGCGAGGAGGAUUCUGUAGAAGGCAGAGAGCUGGAGAGCGACAGGAGAGGAGGGAGGAGUUAGGUCGGCACUCGCGGACGCACGAACUUCACCGGGAAGCCUCGGCCCGACAAUACCCGAUGCACAAAGCGCGUCCUCUGCAGCCAGAGCACGUGCACAGACAUGCCAGCUGCAUGGUCACCAUGCUACAUGGCAACGAGAGGACAAGAGAGGCUGGAAAGUCAUGUCUAGUGUGUUGUCUCUGCACCCUGGAGACUGUGGGAGGUGAAACGGCAUCAAAAGAAACCAAGGAGAUAUGUGAGGCAUCACUGGAAGAUUGAUGUAUCAAACUUGACCAUGUCAAUGUGAUCAACAGGGAAGUGAUAAGGGCCAAAUGUGAUGUCUGGGAGGUUUAGAGUAGGAAGGACUAUGAUCCUGUGAAGUUUGAGGAGGGUUGGACCAAUAUUUAACAGGGUUGCUUUGCAACUGCAAAUUUGAUUCAGAAACUUAACUUAGAUGAGGCACUCACAUGGAGUAAAGACUUGGGUUGAAAUUUGGCAAGGCAGAAUGAUUUGGACAUAUGAAGAUGCUGUCAAAAUUUCAUACCAAUUGGACGUGCCAAAAUGGUAAUUGCUUAACAAUGAUCCUCUCUGUCCGGAAACUUGAGAAAAUAAUAGAUAACUAUUGGUUUGAUGAAUUGAUCCCAAAUUGGUGGAGAGGAGUUGUAUGGGUAAGAUAAUGCUCUGGUAAAUUUUCAGCAAUAAUGAAGCAAUAUAAAUUAUACUUGCUUCACAACCUGAACAUAUUGAUAGAAGCAAAGACUUGAUGGUGUGCUCACAUAGAUUAUUGUAUAGAGCUAAACUUUGGUAGAGGAUCAAGAUUUUAGAACAUGAAGGAGCUUGCAAAAUUUCAAGUCAUUUGGAUACUCUUAGCUAGUACUUCCUUCAGCAAGUCUUCCCUCUCGCAGAAACUUUGGAAAAUUGUUGAGGAAGAUUCACUAGGCAAAUGGAGCUGAAUUUUGGCAUGUGGCACUGAUUUGGAUGAGAGAUGAUGCCCAAAAAGUUUGGGAGCAAUCAAGAAAAGAUAGGUGGCACUUCCUUCACAUAUGGCCACUCUGGGCAGAAAUGAAGAAUGAAUAUUGAUGAAUUAUUUUUGGCUGGAAAAUGAUGGUUCAGACAUAUUUGGGGCAUAUAAGAUCCAAACAAUUUAUGAGAAUUAUUUGGGAUUUUUGUGGAAGACAUAAAUAUAGGUUGCUUCACAACCUAGAGCAAAUAGGGUUAUUCCUUUAAUACAAAAAGGAAUAUCCCUAAGAAAAAAAUUGGGGUUGGGCUAGAAUGGAAGUGAAAUGAUCUUGGGAAGGAUUUGAGAAUGAUGAGACACUUUAGAGAAGAAGAAAUGAUGAUCUCCCAGGUUUCAAGUCCACAGAACUGCUCCAAAAACAAAAUCAGAGCAAAAACCAAAUAAAUUAAAAAGAAAAAGAAAGGGCCAAAAACCAGGAUGUUACAAACCUUCCCCCUUAAAUAAAUAUCAUCCUCGAGAUUUGGUUGCUCAGGGAACAAGCAUGACUUGAGGAUACUUUUUCCAACUCGGGUAUCCAUUCCCUUUGUUUAUUGUUCCCUCAAUAAUUUCAUAUGAUCUGCUUACCUUGCUCUGGGGUGGCUUGCUUCACCCUUCCCCAAAUUCUGAUGGUUCUUUCCUCUAUACCAAAUCCUUUUGCUGACGUUGAUUCUUUUAUAUAUGCGGUGAUAUCCAAGGAAUCUGAGAAUAACUUUCCUCUGGGUACAAUACCGUUUGUUCCUUCCGUCGGGUUGUUCAAAUAAAUGUAUGUCUUCCGAGUUCAACCCAUGCUGAGAAUCAUGUCCAUUCUCCUGAAGAGAUCUGACUACCCGAAGGUGGUACUGACUUAUCUUGAUUUAUUUCUUUGUGUCAAACAGGAGAUACGUACCAAAGAUUUGACUACCUUCUGUUGUGAGCAAUAUAAUGAGGUAUGGACUUAUAGUUGUAGCAUACCUCAAACAUUAGCAUCUUGAGACUAGCCUGACAGGGGUGCUGGCGGGAAGAUACUUUUCAUGACAGGUUGUCCGUGCACUUGGUUCCACCAGUGAGUAUACCUGGUCUGGGCUGAUUGUUCGGCUUUGUCUUACCCAUGCAGUCGGUAUACCCAUCUGUGGUAAUUGGUUGUGGGAUGCUUUAACACCGCCACUGAAGUCAAACUGCGGAGGUUGCAAAGAAAUCUUGGAUAUAGCGGGAUAGGCUCGGAUAUUCCACACUAACCAUUCUAAGCAGGUGCCAUGGGACAAGCGGGUUAGCGGGAUAUGAAGUCCUUGUAGAACAGAGUAGGCCUCUGAGGGUAUGACGGUCAUGACUUUCUUUGUCAGGAUACCCUACUGAAAUAGCUUGGCCACAUAUGUCCUUGAUUCUUCGUACGACCAUGGAUGUGGUUAGUGCAAUAUUUUUGGCAUUAUUCCUUGUGCCUGCUUUCUGACCUGGGCCCGCACAUAUAUGACAUAUACUCGGGGGCUAGUAGUUGUACAGAGCUCAUUGUUGAGGCCAUUCAUACAAGAUGGUGACAAGAGUUCGGGAUAGCACCUUGUCGGGUGCGGGAAUAUUAGCCUUGGUAACCAUUGUCAAGACUGUUGAUUCUGUGUUGUCAUCUCCAGAACUUGUCAAUCCUUGCAUUACAUGAGAUGUAUCUUUUCUUAUCUUCAUUGGAUAUGACUCAUGGGGUUGUUGGAUCCUUAUCUUUCUUAGGUAUAUCUGCUUGAUCAUUGUCGCAUCUCGUAUGAGUGACUUGUAUGACUAGGGAUGCAUGCUCACCAUAUAUAUAAGAAGAAUAUGCAACCAAACACUCGAUCUUUGUGGUAGGCAUAUGUCUUGACUGAAGUGUACUUCUGAAAAAAUGUUGCAGAUCUUAUCCUUGAGUUGCGCUGUCAUAUACUGCCAACUCAUAGUGUAAUACCUAACGAUGGUGUGUAGUGUUGUACUGACGCAGGAUGGGUGUCUUAUGUGGGAAGCCAUUCGAGUAGCUUGCUGAAGAAGACUUGAUAUCUUACGCUCGAAGCUUUUGCCGCAGUGGCGUGCUAGAGAAGUUUGGGUUCUGUACCUGAGAAGCUUCUUCUCUGGUUGCUUGUUGAGAAAGAUUCAAUUCCUUAUGUCAGAAGCCUUUACCGAGGUAUCUUGUUGUGGAAGAUUGGAUAUCUUGGACCGGAAACUGUCCAUAUAUCGUACUGAGGAAAAUUGAGGAGCCUUGCCUCAUAAGCUUCUUCUGAAAUCGUGUGGAGGAAGACUAAGUUUCUCAUACCCAAAACUUCAUACUGUGAUAUGCAUACUGAAAGCCAUACACACACCCAUGAUAUUUUGCGGAUGGUUACUUGCAUGAGAAAAAAAAUUUGACUGUCUUCCUUGAUCAUAGCACAUUCUAGCUUUCUUUCGGAGUAUAACAUAUUUCAAGCAUCAUUCCUUGCUGAGCCAAAACUCUAUAUAUGAGCCAUACCUUGGACUGAAAAUAUAUCGUUUAUCUUGUACCUAACUUGUCUUCCUGCUGGCUUGAACAUUACUGUGUGAGGAUUAAGUACUGAUGUAGACUUGAUGUGUUUAGCUGAGCUUCUUCCAAAUAUUUGAAAUCCUUAUCGCGUCUUCGAGUCCGGUGUCGGUUGAUGAGCAACUUUCAUAAGGGGAAAUAAGGUAACACCAAGGACCCAAAAGAAAGGAGCAAAAGAAAACUCAACUAAACAAAAGCACACAAAAGGGCAUUCAGAGCACACACAAGCAAUAUCACAUAUUACUGCUAUUCACUCAAUAUGCAUGCCUACUUAAGCACACAAAUCUCGCGGGAUCUCCGGUACUACGAUCUAACAUGCGGUGACGGUGUGCACGAAGAUGGAUUAGCGUGUGGAGGGGUUGGUGUAAACAAAGCUACACCAAGUGCUGGCCUAGCCAGGUAGCAACCUGGACUAGCUCGGAGGUGAGGACAUACUUGAUAACCAUGUCGCAUAACACGAGUGUCACCACCACAUCAUCAUUAAGAGGACGGAAGGGAUCCAUACUCAUCCAAGGAAUAGGAUAGCGGUGGAAAGUUGAGUCUGCUGGCAUUUCUCUAUCCUAAUAACUAAGAUCAUUAAGGGUUGCCAACACGACCGGACAAAAAGCACGAUUCGGGGUAGAAGCAUGUCUACCACUGAUACGAUAUGUGGGGCUGGAAGAAAGAUAUUGGCACGAUACAUGAGCACCAUUCCUGAAAACAGUGUCAGGAACACUUGGCAUCACUCCGUUGGGACGGAGCUCACGCCAAACACCGAAGAACAGGGAAAAGGGGAAAACUGGAGGGAUGUAGGGGCUGAGCUGUAGUGGGUCCAAACCGAUACCAGCUACACUCACAAGAUAAGUCGUUAGCAGCAAAAUAAUAAGGCUAUAUGCAUGAUAUGCAACAAACAAAUGCAGCAACCAAUGCAACAAACAAGUCAUACUCUAUACUACCGGUUUCUACCGCUGGCGCUGACUAGGGCGUCCUACAGCCAGACCUGCUCUGAUACCAAGCUUUGUGGCACCCCAGUUCAGAGGAACCGGAACACCCCGUAUUCUAGCCCAGAGAUCAAGUCUUCUGGAAUACGGCACUGCUUGACAUGGAACAAAUCAGCUCUUAUUACAAAGGAUAAUGGUACAAAGGUCUGAUGUUACAAAGGAUCACAUCAGCACGGCGACACUACACCUUCUAAGGUAGCUCUAUGCUAGCUGCGAAACAACGACAACGGUGGUGAACUCCACUCUGCAGGGACUCUGGCUGGGACACGGUCUAGCUCGCACAAUCGGUAACCUCGACAAGCAAUCAAUCACGGCAUCACCUGCAAUCUGGCAUGACACGCCAGGUCAGUACAUUGAAUGUACUUACAAGCUCACAACAACCAAAAGCAUCAAGGAAAAACAACAGCAUAGCAUCAAAAGGUUAAGUUAUUAACAACUACUAUGAUGUGGAAAUAAUUGUUAAGCAUGAUAUGAUACUACUAGAAUUACUGCUGAACCACCAUCUCAAGAACCAUCUCACUCUGGGCUAUCCGGCCAAACAAUAUAUCACCUCGAUCACCUCGUGAUCAAUACCUCCUCAUGAUCACAUCACAACUGAAUGAUCAUCCUCGAGGUCAUCCCAACAUUGGCAUCCUACCAAACUGUUACUGCUCACAUAAAUAUAUAAGUCAUCUAAGAAGUCAUUUUGUCAUGUGAGUGUUGAUCGAACGGUGUGACCUAGUACAAACUGUGUCCAUGACCGACGACGCGGUCAUCGAUAGUUUAUACACACUCUGCAAAGGUUAGCACACUGUACCCACACCACAGAACCCAUGGCCUCGUGCUCCCAUUCGGGUGGACCAACGGUGUUCUAACAAAACCAAUUUAUUGCAUGACACUCUCCUGGCCACUCCAACCAACUCCCCUUUGGGCUCAGUCCUGGGUGGCCCCGAUGUCACCUCUUGACAUCCAACAGCCACCGUCGUGGCAAAACAAAAAUGGUCCCAAGCAGGGACAAAGGGCCCUAUACAACUACGGGCACACAAGGCUUAUGGACGCCUACCUGAUCAGGGUAGCGCGCGCACAUAACCUUCCCUAGUUGGAGGCACCGGCGAGAGGCAUAACAAUAGACCGCAUUAGGGCCUUCCCAUAAAGGCAAAUGUGGUUACACUAGAAAAGCCCGGUUCGGUGGCACCUCACCAAAGAAAUGACGGAAUUUGUCCCCAAGAUAGAUCUAUGUUAACUGCUGCUCUAAUAUCAUACCAACCUAUGAUCCAAGUAAAAGCAAUAUCCAACUAAUGAUCCAAAGCAUAAUAUCAUCACAUCAUAAUACUCUGAGGGUAGCAUCUAACUAAUAUCAUGAUGAAUCCAAGUAUAAAGAUGCUACUAAACCAAUAGUAUUAUCAAGAUAUUAACCUAAGAUCCACAUGAUAGCAUCAAAUCCAACAUAAUACUCCAAAGCAUAACAUCAACUCCUAUCAUAAUGAAAAUAAUAAUAAUAGCCACUAAUAAUCCAAUGGCAACAUGUCAUCCUCAAUCUACAAAAUAUUAGUCCUAGAAAUCCAAACAGAAUCAUGGCAAUAGCAAGAUCAAGAUAACUCCAAGAAAUGCCAUGAAUAAAUCAUACAUUACUAAUGCAAAGUUUUAAAUAAGUUUAUUAAGGAAAACCAUGAUAUUGUAGUGCAAUCAUGCAAAUGGAGGGUUUGGUUGCUUUGCUCCAAGAAAGGGUGGGAAAGCUCCUGGUCUUCAUCAAACACACAAAACACUUUGAAAAACAUUUUUGAAAGCUUUUGUAAAUAAUCCAUAAUGCAUUUUUCUCUGUCCAGAAAAGCUAGACAUUAAAGAAAAAUACCAAACUCGACCAGAAAAUAGAGGAGCUCAAAAGAAAAAUAAUGCAAAAAGAAUCAGUUCAUUUGGACUUGUAGUUUAGGAGUUAUUCAUGGUCAAAGUUGUGGUGAAAUCUGUAUUUAAAUUGAAUUCAAAUGAAUUUUAGAAAAUCUCUAGAGGGGGUGACGUCGAAGGCGUAAAGGCAGAAUACGCCUUCACUUAGAAAACGCUUUAGGAGGGGGUGAGGGGCUGACAGGUGGGGUCGGCUGGCAGGUUUUAAAGAGAGGAGGAGAGAGACAGAGGCGGGGAGGCUCACCGGCGAUGCCUCACGGGCGUAGAGGCCACGGCAGCGAGGGGCGACGACGGGGAUCGAUCGGGCGCAUCAGGGCGGUCGCGCCCGUACCCGUAGCACAUCGGUAGGUGGUCGGAGGACGUCGGCCCAUUCGUCUCCGGCGGCCGCAGGCAUCGGGCGCCAGCGAGGACGACGUUUCUGGCAAUGAUUCGAGCACCCGAGAGGUUGGGGAGGAUCAGUGGACGAAGAGGGUCUUAAUGGUGGUGGUGGCUGGGAAGGGAGGCACUGGAGCAACCGGGCCAGAGCAGAGGCCGAGCGGAGAGGCGCCUCACCGGAGAGGAGGAAGAGGGCUCGCCGGCCUUACUGCUGGGCUGCGGAGGAUGAUUGGGAGGGAGGGAAGUGGAGUGGUGAUGAGCGGCGAGGUCGGGUUGAGCUUCAAUAGGCGGGGAGGAGGAGAUCGAGCCAGAUGCCGCCAUGAGCGCGUGGCCAGCUCCGGCGAUGGCUGGGAGUGUCACGGGGUGAUGGAUGGGACUGGAGAGAGCAGAGGGGGUGCACUAGAGCAGAGAAUGAUGCUACAGGAGAGGAGGAAGAAGACGGGACAGCAACAGAGUCGGUCGGGGCAAUGUGCUCCCGUGGGUGCGCGGUGUCUAGCACCGGCGAGGAGGCUUCUGGAGAGGGCAGAGAGCUAGAGAGCGACGGAAGAGGAGGGGGAGUCAGGUCGGCACUCGCUGACGCGCGGACUUCACCGAGAAGCCGUGGGCUGACAAGACCCUACGCACAGAGCGCUUCCUCUGCAGCCAGAGCGCGUGCACAGACAUGCCAGCUGCACGGUCACGAUGCUACAUGGCAAGGAGAGGACAAGAGAGGCUGGCAAGUCAUGUCUAGUGUGUUGUCUCUACACCCUGGAGAUUGUGGGAGGUGAAAGAUCAUCGAAAGAAACCAAGGAGAGAUGUGAGGCGCAUCGCUGGAAGAUUGAUGUAUCGAACUUGACCAUGUCGGUGUGAUCAACAGGGAAGUGAUAAGGGCCAAAUGUGAUGUCUGGGAGGUUUAGAGUAGGAAGGACUAGCUAUGAUCCUGUGAAGUUUGAGGAGGGUUGGACCAAUACUUAAUAGGGUUGCUUUGCAACUGCAAAUUUGAUCCAGAAACUUAACUUAGAUGAGGCACUCACAUCGAGUAAAGACUUGGGCUGAAAUUUGGCAAGGCGGAAUGAUUUGGACAUAUGAAGAUGCUGUAAAAAUUUCAUACCAAUUGGACUUGCCAAAAUGGUACUUGCUUCACAAUGAUCCUCUUUGUCCAGAAACUUGAGAAAAUAAUAGAGAAAUAUUGGCUUGAUGAACUGAUCCCAAAUUUGGUGGAGAGGAGUUUUAUGGUAAGAUAGUGCUCUGGUAAAUUUUCAGCAAUAAUGAAGCAAUAUAAAAUAUACUUGCUUCACAACCUGAAAAUAUUGACAGAAGCAAAGACUUGAUGGUGUGCUCACAUAGAUUAUUGUAUAGAGCUAAAAUUUGGUAGAGGAUCAAGAUUUGAGCACAUGAAGGAGCUUGCAAAAUUUCAACUCAUUUGGGUACUCCUAGCUAGUACUUCCUUCAACAAGUCUUCCCUUUGACAAAAACUUUGGAAAAUUGCUAAGGAAUAUUCGCUAGGCAAAUGGAGCUAAAUUUUGGCAUGUGGCAAUGAUUUGGAUGAGAGAUGAUUCCAAAAAAGUUUAGGAGCAAUCAAUAAAAGAUAGGUGGCACUUCCUUCACAGGAGUCCACUCUGGACAGAAAUGAAGAAUGAAUAUUGAUGAAUUAUUUUUGGGCUGGACAAGGAUGGCUUGGACAUAUUUGGGGCAUAUAUAAUCCAAACAAUUUAUGAGAAUUAUUUAGGAAUUUUGUGGAAGACAAAAAUAUAGGUUGCUUCACAACCUAGAGCAAAUAGGGUUAUUCCUUUAAUAGAAAAGGGAAUAUUCCUGAGAAAAAGAAUUUUGGGGUUGGGCUAGAAUGGAAGUGAAAUUAUCUUGGGAAGGAUUUGAGAAUGAUGAGACACUUUAUAGAAGAAGAAAUGAUAUCUCCCAGGUCUCAAGUCCACAGAACUGCUCCAAAAAGAAAAAUCAGAGCAAAAACCAAAUAAAUUCAAAAGAAAAAGAAAGGGCCAAAAACCAUGGUGUUACAAUUUGCGAUUGAGAAAUAUAUAUUUUCUCACAAAAUAUUCUCAUUGCUAUUGAGAUCAGUUUUCUCUCACAAAAUAUUUAUUCACCCCGCUGAAUUAUCUUGCAGUUUGAUACAAGACCAUCCAUCUGAUUUGAGGUCUAUACAAUUCAAGUUUUUCCAUUGAGCAUCAAGUUUGCAACUUUAGUUCAUUACAUUAGAAUGUUUUUCUGUUGAGUAUCAUGUAUUCCAGAAACUACCUAUGAUGUAAUAUAUUUCCAUGUUUGCCACAUGUCGAGAUUAAUUGCAUCCAUUUGUAAUUGAGAUUUUCAAUUUCUUGCAAAUAUGGGUGCAAAAUUCAAUGUGAUUUCCUCGAAUUGAUGUUUUGGGAUCACGAGGUAGUGUAUAGAUUUAUCUCUCACUACUGGUUAAGCCUACAUUUUUUCAUUUUUUGGACAUUAUGAUUGCUCAACAAUGUGCUCGCCCAUACAUUUUAUUAAGUUAUGACAUAAGGUACUAAAAAUAUGAGUAUCUACUGAUUUCAUCUGAUUAUACUCCCUAGUGCUGCUAGAUCUACUCCCAAAUUUUCUUUUGGAGAUUAUCUACAAAGUGUUAUGCUUAACAGUCUGAAGUUCACAAUAAUGGUUUCAAGUUAUCUUCUUGAAAUUUCCAUUAAUUUUGCAAAAUUCAUUACAACAUAACCAUGAUGGUCUUUAAUUUACCGCCCAUAAAUUAAUUAUCUCUGGUUUACCAUGUAAAUAAUCGAUGGCUAAAGAAUUUAAGGCACUUGCCCUUAAUGGCCACAACUACCUUACGUGGGUCAUGGACAUCUAGAUCAUUUUAUUUGUCCCAUGGGGGAUGCAAAGGACCUCAAGGGAAAAGGUUUGAAAUCCAUGUUCAACCUUCACCCACACAAUGCAAAUGGAACGGGUUGUUCGCAUGACGUUCCUCUCGAACCGAGUAACAGCAUGACUUCCAUCGGCCAGAGGACCUUGCUGGCACGGAGAACAUGUUGGUUGAGUAUGCCUAAUCGAUGUGUUUGGAGACUUCGACUAGUCUCUCAAUCUUCAUAGUGAUCUAUUUACUUAUGUCCAUUUAUGAUGUUCUAAUAAGAACAUAAGUAUUAUUGUCAUCAUAUAUUGUAUAUCACAAUAUAUUGUAUUAGCACUUUGGUACAAUACAUUUGUAUGUAUUCUAUAUAUCUGACAGUGAUUUUCAUAUUGAGAAUCUUCAAGUCUAUAUAUAGAUUUCUACGGGGGUCAAUCUGAUGAAAGAUAAUAUGUGUCUUGUGGACAUAUGCACCACAAACUCUCUACUCGGGGAAGUGAAAUGUUUCCAUUCUCGUUGAGAGAAAAUGAGAUAUUUUAAAAUUGCUAAACGCGAUAAUGUAAUUGUUGGCUCAACUUGAGUCAUAUUUACUAUCCCUAUGGGUACUCAAGUAGAAUCAGGGAUGCUUUAUCAUGUCCGGGUCAACUCGUACCCUACUAAACUAUAGAGAUAUCCAUCAAAACAGUUUCCAUAGCGAAACUUAUGAUGACAACAAAGAGGAAUAUCUUAUCUUUACCAUAUGCAACGGAUAUGAAAAGCACAUCCUCUAUGUAUCAUCAGGAUUGUACUACACGUACUACAAAACCGGUACCACAUGUUGCGUACAAGAUAGUUUUGCAGAAUGUCUUUUGCAUGACAAACUUGGCAUACUCGCCUUGGUCAUCGUGACAUUGGGUUGAAACUGAAAUUGUCAGCAAUUCCAUUGGUUAUACUAUUAUGAUGCUAAAUUCUAACAAUAUUUGGGUUUUAUACGCACUACAUGUGAUGCAGAGAUGCUAAUUUAAGGGUUGCACACCUUAAAGUCUACGCUGAACCACUCAAACUCCUUGAAUGCAUCAAGUCGAGGUAAGUGCAACCAUCAACUAGACUAUUCGGGUAUUCCAUGGUUUAAAAGACACAUCUACGAGAUGGUCUCAAGUGUGUCUUUAUCCACACGAAAACCAUUUGUUGAUUAUCUUGACCAUCGAUUUCAAGCAAAUCAAAUGGGCAACAUUGCAGAAUUCUACUUCGUGCCUUUAAGAUGGCCCUAGGAUAGAAGUUUAGCACUUUGUCCUAAUGUCUAGACUCAAAAUGGUUUGGUGGAAUCCUUUAUCCAAAGAAUUAAGCUCAUUGCAUUGUUUUUACUUUGGAAUUGCAACUUACCAACUUUACGUUGGAGUCAUGUAGUUUUACACGCUCAUGACCAAACUGCAUAAUAUUAUUCCCCUCUAUCUUUGAUACGUGAAAAUCUACCACGUAUUUCCCAUCUGCGGUAAUUCGGUUACACAACGAUAUCACCGCACCGGCAUACAUCAUUGGCCCCUCAGCAUAUAGUUGGGAUCUAUGUGAGGAAUAAUUGUAUUUCCAUCAAUACCUCAAGCCCCUCAUAUGGGGAGUUAUUCAAGGCCAGUAUGUCGAUUCAAUGAGGAACAUUUCCAGGCAUUAGGGGGAGAGUUCAAGUACCAUAAAGAAUGCCAGGAGAUUAGUUUCAACGCAUUUCUGCCUCAAAUACACGUACUCAAAGAUCCAAACCAUGCGUUCAGAAGAUUUGCAACACAUUACAAAUAACCUGCCAGAUUUAUUUACUGACUAUAAAGGUGUCAAAAUCCUACUAUCCUACAAAAUAUGCCUGAAAGAGUGAAGGUACCAACAACAAUCACUCCACUCCCCGUUCAAAGCAACAGGGGGGAUGUAUGGGAAUAGUACAUCAGGAUUCAGCUCCUUGCAAGCAAGGAUAUCAAGGCCUCUGGAUCAGUAAAUGCAAGACAACUUCACGUUGACAGACACCUAAUGGGUAGUAUACACCCAAUGGAUGGGAAACCUCCACCAACCUAGGUCAUAGUGCACACAAUGAUCGGGACAUCAGAAUACCCGACUCGACCGCAUUGGGAAAUCGCGAGUAGUCACCAUGGGUAACGAUAUUUUCAUCAACUAUAUAUUGAUAUAUAGAUUCUGAAGAAACAUAUAACCGGAAGUCUACAAUUGUUGACAUAAAUUUCUCAACUAGAUUGAGAAAACCUUUCACAUGAUUAAGGUCCUAAGACCAUGGCCAUGGCAAAGUGUGAACAACACUCGGACUGAACUCAAGCAACGGGUAUAAUCUAGGUAGAAAUAAUCGUGCUCAAUGAUGGGAAGGUAUUCACAAAGCAAUACCUACACUAGUUUUCUUCUGGAAACAGAAUGAGAACAACGAGGUGGUGAAACAUAGAGCAAGUAUUGUAGCACAAGGGUUCAUGCAGAUACCCAACUAUUCUCCAGAGGUGGAAUCUCUUUCCGAUAACUUAUAUUGUUGGCAGUACAAAAUCAUCUAUCUCUGCGGUUGAUAGAUGUAGUGAUUACAUAUCCAUGUGGAUCACUAGAUUCAGAUAUAGAUGGUUCCCAAUGGAAUCUCACUUCUGAAUCGAAAUGCAAAAUGCAACAUACAUAGUCUAAAAUUAAUAAGCCACCGGAUGGCUUAUUAUUGUCGGUACAUUUGGUGCAACUGACAUAGUAAGAUCCUUACACACGAGGAUUACUCCUACACUGACAAUUACCCGUACAUGUUAAGCAUGUGAUCAUCUAAAUGACGGAAUUUGAGAUGAAGGAUUUGGGUAAAACCUCUAGCACCUUCACUCAUGCAUUAUGGUACACCAUAUUGUCUAUAUCCAGAUUAUAUUGGAGAAAUUGAUUGUGGACAAGUCUUAUCCAUCCAUAAUUUCCAUGGUUAUUUGUUCUCUAGACGUGGAGAAAGAUCAUAUAGACCAUGAGGAGAUGGAAAUAAGAUGUUGGGACAUAAGGUUCCACAUCACAGUGCAUGCAUUGGAUCACCAAACAUAAUUGGUUGAGACUCAAGAAUAUCUUUCGAUAGCUCCAUUGCAUCAAAUAUCUUGUCCUAAUCUUUCAUUUUCAGAUAAAUCUGGACAUCAAUAUCUGUGGAUACAACGAUCAGAUCCCUACUAUGUCAUAUCAUAGACAAGGUUUGUGUUCUUGCUAGGUGUGGUAGCCAUCUCAUGAGAGUCUUCGAAUUAGACCUCGUGGCUACAUCCACCAAUCAUUAUCUCAAAGAUAAUGUUGCUUGUGUUGCCCGCAUGCAAACAGGUUACGUAAUAAGCAAUAUCGCUAUGUUGCAUAUCUUGCAAGUCAAAUCAUGUGAGUGAUUUGUUCACCAAGUCUCUACCAGCUUCUACAUUCCAGAAAUACAUUCAUGGAAUUGGUAUGUGAUGGCUUCGGAAUUUGCAAGAAUCGGGGGAGUAUCUUUCUGAAUUGUUCCUGUUCAAAGCAUCAUAUUAUACUCCUUUUCCCUUCACGAGUUUACUUUACAGGUUCUCAUAAAGGUUUUUAAUGAGGUAAUAUCAACAUGAGAUCAUAUAUCAUACUUUCUGUUUUCCCCACCGGGUUUUUUAGGAAAGUAUAUACAACAUAUUUAUUGUCCUCUAAAUUUUAUGAGUUUCUCAUAUUGAGUUAAAAGAGACAAUAGCCAUUAUAUGUUGCAUCAUUUUCUUCUUAUUUUUCUCACCAUGUUUGAAGGAGUUUUAGCAACAUAUCAAACACCUAUCUCCUCACAUUUUUCCCAUAGGGUUUUUCGAGGAGACCUACUUAAGUUUUUUUUUUAAAGGAAAGCAUCUCGGUAUUUUAUUUCUCAGCCAAAAGAAUUACAUCAUUUAUUACAUAAGGAAGAAUGAAAUUGGGUGGAUCUCCAUCCCAUUCAAAAGAAGAUGGUGAGCAACUCGAUUGGCUUCCCUCGGGCUGUGUUUGAAAGUAACUUCAUUGAUCAUCUUAGUUCUUACAAAACAGUCAGCUAAGGUUGAAGUGUAAGGACCAAAGAUCUCCAGCUCCCCAUUGCAUGCGUUGAUUAACUCCAAACAAUCAGACUCACAUGUGAUAUGGGUGCAGCCCAACUUCUCAACUAGCUCUAGACCUUUUAGCAAGGUGAGGGCCUCCGCCGAGGCAGCAUCUAAGAUCAUCUGAACAGGGUUGGCUGCUCCUGCAACAGCCUUACCUGCGCUGUUACAUAUAAUGAUGAACAUUCUCAAAGACAAACCAAUUCGGAGGAGCUUUUAUCAAGAUGAUGAUACUACAUGGACAAGCGUAGAUUAGGAAAAGUAUUAAGAUUUAAUUAACACAAGUUAAUUAAGGGUUAAAUCUUCACUUAUCCAAACCGUCAUACAAACAGAUGCGACUCUUAUAAUUGUCGUGUCCCUCCAGAUGCGCCCCUUCGAGACUAUAAAUAUGUAACUUGUCAUCAUCAAUAGACACAGUUUUCAUUAAUCAGAUUGCCUCUCGUUUCCACUCUAACAUUUACUCCCUCCAUUCCUAAAUACAAGUCUUUUUAGAGAUUCUACUAUGGACUACAUACAGAGCAAAAUGAAUGAAUCUACACUCUAAACUAUGUCUAUAUACAUCCGUAUGUAAUUUAUAGUGAAAUCUUUAAAAUGACUUAUAUUUUGAAACGGAGGGAGUAGGACCGUCCACCUAUGCAUGUACAGGGUGGUUUGGUGCAUCGAUGCUUUAACUAUAGUCACCAAAUCUCCCAAAAAAAAAAAAGAGGUGCAAACCCUAGAACUCCUACGCAAUUCCGGUCCACUUUUUACACAUUUGGUAAGGCUGGUAUGGAAAGAAAUCAAAACACUGGCACGGUGGUUACGAUUUCAUGACAAGUCAUAUCACUUUUUUUAACAGAGUCAUGGCACAUUUUACCCUUUCAUAAUGAUUUGUAAUAGAUUUUUUUUCAGAACUUUAUUGUUAUCUUCGCCAAACACUCGAUUUUUGCAGGCAUGCUCGGCAUUUCUGGCAAGAAGUGUUGAUGGCAACAAAACACUGCCCAAGCGAUUGCCUGAGUAAGUGCCGCAGCUAGACCCUGCCCGGUCCGAGCAACGGCUUCACAUGAACAGUAGAUAACUUCUGAAACAAACUUGUACAGUGGAGAUACAGAGCCCCCACCACAUCCGAUAACUGUGUUCAACAAUCUGAGGUUUACAUACGGGACCAGGGUAAUGUUCCCAAACUGACAGGCGACUGCCCUAUGUACUUGGUGUAACAUAUAGCACCUUUCCAACCACCAAACAAAAAUCCAUCUCCAAACGAACAGCCUCAUACAACCCUGUGAAACAUCCCGGAAGACUAUCUAUUUGAAAUGAAGCGCAAAAUUUUCUAUAACAUGAACUAAAAUGCUAAUUAAAUUGCUGCCCAAACUGUAACCGGAUAAGCCAAUCCUAGAUCACAUGAAAGCUUAUAGAAUGAGGAGAAACGGGUUUUACAUCAUCCCUGUAACAAACCU